rnacentral:sRNA from 1 species
GCUGGGCACUGUGGCAUGUACCUGCAGUCCCAGAUACUCCAGAAACUGAGGCAGGAGGAUUGCUUGAGCUCAGGAACUCAAGGUCAGCCUGAACAACACAGCAAGACCCUGUCUCAC